CAGCCGCCGCGGUAAUACCGGCGGCCCGAGUGGCGGUCACUAUUAUUGGGCUUAAAACGUCCGUAGCCGGGUUGGGAAGUCCUCCGGGAAAUCUGGCCGCUUAACGGUCAGAAUGCCGGAGGAUACUCCCAGCCUAGGGAGCGGGAGAGGCCGAGGGGAUUCCCGGAGUAGGGGGGAAAUCCUAUAAUCCCGGGAGGACCACCUGUGGCGAAGGCGCUCGGCUGGAACGCGUCCGACGGUGAGGGACGAAGGCCAGGGGAGCAAACCGGAUUAGAUACCCGGGUAGUCCUGGCGGUAAACGAUGCGGACUUUGUGUCGGACAAGCUAUGAGCUUGUCCGGUGCCGGAGGGAAACCGUUAAGUCCGCCGCCUGGGGAGUACGGCCGCAAGGCUGAAACUUAAAGGAAUUGGCGGG
rnacentral:rRNA from 1 species